GAUAGCUUGGCCAAGUGGUCCAAGGCAACAUAUUUAAGUGUUGAUUUGAAAGAGCAUGGGUUAAAAUGCAAUAGCUAUCA
rnacentral:tRNA from 1 species